UAAGACUUUAUACUGUUCAUAUAAAGCCUC
rnacentral:piRNA from 1 species